rnacentral:sRNA from 1 species
GAUUUCUAUGUGACAAAAGAGAAAAAGGACAAGGAGGAAGGAUGGGAUUGCCUAUGAUUCAAGUAUUUAUGAUUGCCGCCCGGCAGGUCUCCAAACCAAUUGCCGAUGCGGUGCUCCGAUAUGGAAAAGAUCAUCCAGUUUUUAGGAAUAAGCUGUUACUUCCCAUUGGAAGAGGUAUCGAAUUUUGCGCAACGUGGUGUCAGGAUGUCCCAUGAACACGAACAUGGCGGAAAAAUAUUUUUUGAAAAUUUGUGACGUCACAACGCUCUCCGAUUUUCGUGAAAUUUCUUUAUAAUUUUUCAAAAAACUGUUUCAAUUUAAUUUCUAAAAUUUUAUAUUACACCUGGAGAAAUUGAGGCAAAAUACAAUAAAAAACGAGUAAUUUCAAUUAAAACAAUUUUUUUUUGUUGAAAAAUCAAAAAUUCAUAAAAAAAAUUCACGAAAACUCAGUAAAUGAACGGUUUUACUGAGUUUCUUAAUGAUUUUUCAACAAAAAAAUCGUUUUAAUUGAAAUUAUUUAUUUUCAUUGUAUUUUGCUUCAAUUUCUCCACUUAACUUGCUAAAUUUUUGGAAUUUCGGUAAAAUAUCAAAUUUUUACUCACGAAAAUCAAAAAAUCGAUGUAAAAAUAAUUAUUCGAAAUGCGCUGUGACGUCACAGAUUUUCAAAAAAAUAUUUUCGCGCCAUUUUUGUGUGCAUAAAGACACCUUUUGCAAGAAAUUCAGAUUUAAAUAAUUUAUUUUUUUUGCCAGGUCUCGUCCGUUUCACAUCACGUCUCCGAAUGAAACGUCUUGGUUUGGGUGAACCAAUAAGUCAGGCUCCGAUUUCAGAAUCUGCAGCUUUGGAGCAAGCUUCUGAUUUUGUGCAGCAACUUGUGCUCUUCUCAUAUUCGGUCGGCGUCUUUGCCGGUUAUUACUUUUAUACGAAAAUGACGACACCUGAAUCGCUGAAAAUUGAGGAUUAUGAAGAGUUUAAGCAACAACAGGAGAGG